GGUGGGGAGUUUGGGAGGGGCAACACCUGAUGCUUAUUGCAUUUGUUGAACAUUUUGUAUGUACCAGGCAUGGGACACAAGGCUUAUGUGCAUAAUCUUGUUUAAUAAGGCUCUUAAAACUCCCGUGGGAUAGGUACUCUAAAGGCCAUCUUGCUGAUGAGAAAUGUCAAGAGCAGAGAGGUAAUUAACUGUUGAGGGUGGUGCAGUGAGGGAGGUAGGAGCUCAACCUUAAGCACGGGUUUGUGUGACUCCUCCUCCCUGGGCUUCACCCCCUCCUGCAGACCAGAGCUGACCAGUGAGGCUACUGGAAGGCUGGAUGGGACUGCCGAAGAUGGAGGACUUGGCAGAGGUUAGAACACCAGCCCGGGAGGAAUGGGCACGGGCCAGGAGCGGAACAGACGCCUCCCUGAGGCUCACACAAAUGUCAGAUCUGGCGCUCCCCUUCACUGUGAGGAGCCGCUCCAGGAGGUGUGUGAAUGGCCCCUUGCAGGAAGCGGCCAGGAGGCGGCUGGAGAAUGAGGACCAGGAGGUGCGUGCGUGCGCUGUAAGGUGAUGUGAAAACCAAUGCCACAAUCAAGAAAGUCAUGCAAAAUAUUUUGUGCUUGUGUGAGUUUGUUAGCUGGACACUGUCAUCCCAGGCUGACCUCUCAGCCAGGUUGGUGGGUAUCCAGCCCCAGAAGGCCCAGUUCCUCAUCACUUUCAAAACCAUGGAGGAAAUCUGGAAGUUCUCCACUUACCUGAACUUAGGCUAUGUUUCUGUGUGUCUGGAGCAUCUCCUCUUUGACCACAAGUACUGGCUUAACUGGAGACUGGUGGAGGAUACAGAGAUUCAAGUGUCUGUAGAUGAUACACACCUGGAAACAAUAUACCUGGGACUCCUGAUACAGGAAGAUGGUUCCUAAAGAAUUAUCCAAGAAGCUGUGGCCUUUCCAGGAAGAGGAAUUGGACAGGCUCCUGUCAGAUCGAUCCUGUUUACCCACAAAGCAGUGGGAAUUGCUGAUCCUGAAGACACCAUCAAUAGAAAUGUGACCAAUAAUGCCAGAGAAAAAAAAGGUAGUAGGUCUAGCAGAAGAGCUAAAACAGAUAUGGAAGCUGAGGUGCAUAAGGGCUGACCGGCGCGGGGCCACCGGACAGAAGGGCCGGCCAGCGCAGGGUCAGUGGACAGAAGGGCUGACCAGCAGCUGAGAGACUUAAGUUCUAGACCCAGCUGUGUCACACAAACUCUUUGGACAAAUCACAGACUCUGUGCCUCCAGUUUCUAAUGUAUAAAAAACGUGGAUUCUAAGAGUUGCUCUACCUACCCUUUGGGGCUCCUGGGAGGAUCUAAGAAAACCAACUUAAAUCUAUUUUGUAUUUUGGACAAUACAAUGCUCAUGCUUAUGUCAUUACUAGAUCCUACUGGGCGACUUACCAAGCUGGGUGAUGACUGUCGUCAGAAGGAAGGUCUCCCAGACCCUUAGCAGUUUCCUGUAUACCAGGGAUAGGAGGCUAAUGUUUGCUGAGGGUUGAUUAGGUUCCAUGCUUUGUACACUUUAUCCCUUUGACUUUUCCUAAUAUUCAUGAGACAGGUAUUCUUAUUAUCUCCAUUUUACAUUUGGGGAGACUGAGGGUCAUGGUAGCCGAAGGAGCCGGACGGAAAUGGAGAGCACCCCCAGUAGGUCUCGUCCUGGUCCAAAGGUCUGCGAACCGUGACAAAGCGUCUGGCGAACCAGGUGAACUGGGGAAGCGAGUGAGCUUUCCGGUGUUCCCCUGGCUCCCUUUGCUCAGUGCUAGGGCAUAUCCAGCAUUCUGAGAUCAUCUCUCCUGCAUUCGUUAAAAAGCCUCUUUUGUUUUAUAAGAUGGUGAGAGCAGAUUGUAGUUCCAAUCUUUGAAUGUCCUUGUUUGGCAAAAUUAAAAGCCAAUUACCUGUGUCAUUCCUACCAUUUUUUUCUUUGGGCGAAGAUUUUACUGGUCCUUGAAAUUCUGAAGUCUGGGAACCUCGCGUUUCCUGUCACACUGGACGCUCAUGGAAGGCUCAGCUGUUUCUGCCUUACGUACUUGAUCUGUGUGCUCUCUCCCAACAGGCAGAAGAAAUUGUAAAACCUUAAGGGGACAUGAGAGGGAAGAAAAGGAUGAACUGAAUUUCCAACAGGGGGAAAGCAUCAAGAUCAUCGGCUUUGUGGUGCCUGGGCUUCAGUGGUUCAUCGGGAAGUCCGUGCACUCGGGGGAAGUGGGUUUCGUCCCCACCAGGGGCAUAGAUCCUGACUCUUAACUCCCCAGUGUAAUUAUGAUGGGGAGGCCUCUGGGAUGCCCUGGAGAGGGUCCUGCCCGAUCUGUGCAGGUUUGCAGAGGAGCUUCAGGGCCUCCCAGAAACAGGAGCCAGGUAGACGAAGGAGAGGAGGAUAAAUACUUCAUGUUAUUUCCUAAAUGCCAUCUCUACCCACCCAAUCUAAAUAACCAAUCAUUCUAUAUCAUAUUUGCUACUUCAGUUUUAAUAAUCCAGUUUUUUGGUUGAUAUUUCUAGUUUUACAAUGUUCUUUGGACUGCUUGUCAGAAGUUUAGUAUAUACAACAAUAAUUUUCAAAAUGUUUAACCUAUAUAUUUUCCAGGCAUUGCAGGGAUAUGUAAAAAAAAAGUCACAGGAAAACAAUACUUUUUAAAUGCUACUUAGUCUAUUUUCCACUCCAAACCUAAACUUCCUUAGAUAUCACAUAUCCUUUAAAAAUAUAUGGUAAACUGACUUUGUUUUACAAGCUGGCUUUAAGCCCUGGCUAAGGCACUUAGCAGCUGUGAAUCUGAGGAAACUAUUUAAUCUCUGAGAAUCUCACCUUUCUCACUUAUAAAAUAGAAAUAGUUUAAUUUAAAGCAUUUUGAGAAUAAUUAAAACCUGUGAGAAG